rnacentral:misc_RNA from 1 species
GAAAUGCGAUACGUAAUGUGAAUUGCAGAAUUCAGUGAAUCAUCGAAUCUUUGAACGCAUAUUGCGCUCUUUGGUAUUCCGAAGAGCAUGCUUGUUUGAGUAUCAGUAAACACCUCAACCAAAAUUCUAUUUUUUGAAUUUUGGAUGGAUUUGAGCAAACCCAACGGCAAAUGCGCCUAGCAAAUGCGGCGGGUUGCUUGAAAUGCAGGUGCAGCUGUGACAAGAACAGACUGAGCUAAAAGCAUAUCUAUUUAGUCCGUUUCGGCGGAUUAUUUCUAAUUUGCUGCAGCUACUCUAAGGUCCUCUUGUGUGAGCUGACUGAUGCAGGAUUUUGUUAGAAGGCCUUGGUCUUCUUUCAAAAACUCGAUCUCAAAUCAAGUAAGACUACCCGCUGAACUUAA